UUUCAUCAGUUUGUUCCCUGUUUCUUCUCUAGCCUGAGCCUGACACACUAUUCUAGCUAGACAUGGGUGUGGCUCGUGACACCUGGUGACCAAACGGAUCUACGGCACCGUCGAAUCUCAAACUUUAACUACGAAAACUAUUGUUUUUCAUCCUGUAGUCCUUUUUAGAAUUACUAAACGUCCUUUUUUGGGCCGAGAUUUCGAGGAACGCUUUGUCGGGGUUUGUGUGCGCGUAUUUCAAACCAUACGGACCUAAAAAUUAGAAGUCAUUCCAUCUUUAUUCCCCUAGAGCCUUCCAGUAGUUCCUAAACAGCUCUAGUCGGAGCACGUUAUCAUUCUUGUUAGUUCUGAGCGAAUUCCCUCGGUAUGAUCAUUCUUUCAUCAGUUUGUUCUGCGUUUCUUCUCUAGUCUGAGCCUAGCACACUAUUCUAGCUAUUAAUGGGUGUGGAUCGUAACACCUAAUGACCAAACGGAUCUACGACACCGUCGAAUGUCGGUAUGAUCAUUCUUUCAUCAGUUUGUUCCCUGUUUCUUCUCUAGCCUGAGCCUGACACACCAUUCUAGCUAGACAUGGGUGUGGCUCGUGACACCUGAUGACCAAACGGAUCUACGGCACCGUCGAAUCUCACGCUUUCUCGGGGUCUGUGUGCAUGUAUUUCAAAUCAUACGGACCUAAAAAUUAGAAUCCAUUCCAUCUUUAUUCCCCUAGAGCCUUCCAGCAGUUCCUAAACCGCUCCAGUCGGAGCACACUAUCAUUAUUGUUAGUUCUGAGUGAAUUCCCUCGGUAUGAUCAUUCUUUCAUCAGUUUGUUCCCCGUUUCUUCUCUAGUCUGAGCAUAACACACUAUUCUAGCUAGACACGGGUGUGGCUGUAACACCCGAUGACCAAACGGAUCUACGGCACCGUCGAAUCUCAAACUUUAACUACGAAAACUAUUGUUUUUCAUCCUGUAGUCCUUUUUAGAAUUACUAAACGUCCUUUUUUGGGACGAGAUUUCCAGGAACGCUUUCUCGGGGUUUGUGUGCGCGUAUUUCAAACCAUAUGAACCUUAAAAUUAGAAUUCAUUCCAUCUUUAUUCCCCUAGAGCCUUCCAGCAGUUCCUAAACCGCUCCAGUCGGAGCACGUUAUCAUUCUUGUUUGUUCUGAGCAAAUUCCCUCAGUAUGAUCAUUCUUUCAUCAUUUUGUUCCCGGUUUCUUCUCUAGUCUGAGUCUAGCACACUAUUCUAGCUAGACAUGGGUGUGGCUCAUAACACCUAAUGACCAAACGGAUCUACGGCACCAUCGAAUCUCAAACUUUAACUGCUAAAACUAUUGUAUUUCAUCCUUUAGUCCCUUAUCAUUCUUGUUAGUUCUGAGUGAAUUCCCUUGGUAUGAUCAUUCUUUCAUCAGUUUGUUCCCCGUUUCUUCUCUAGUCUGAGCCUAGCACACUAUUCUAGCUAGACAUGGGUGUGGCUCAUAACACCUUAUGACCAAACGGAUCUACGGCACCAUCGAAUCUCAAACUUUAACUGCCAAAACUAUUGUUUUUCAUCCUGUAGUCCCUUUUAGAAUUACUAAACGUCCUUUUUUGGGCAGAUAUUUCCAGGAACGCUUUAUCGGGGUUUGUGUGCACAUAUUUCAGACCAUACGGACCUAAAAAUUAGAAGUCAUUCCAUCUUUAUUCCCCUAUAGCCUUCCAGCAGUUCCUAAACCACUCCAGUCGGAGCACGUUAUCAUUCUUGUUAGUUCUGAGCGAAUUCCCUCGAUAUGAUCAUUCUUUCAUCAAUUUGUUCCCCGUUUCUUCUCUAGUCUAAGCCUAGCAAACUAGUCUAGCUAGACAUGGGUGUGGCUCGUAACACCUGAUGACCAAACGCAUCUAUGACAUCGUCAAAUCUCAAACUAUAACUGCCAAAACUAUUGUUUUUCAUCCUGUAGUCCCUUUUAGAAUACUAAACGUCCUUUUUUGGGCCGAGAUUUCCACGAUCGCUUUCUCGGGGUUUGUGUGCAUGUAUUUCAAACCAAACGUUCCUAAAAAUUUGAAGGCAUUCUAUCUUUAUUCCCCUAGAGCCUUCCAGCAGUUCCUAAACCGCUCCAGUCGGAGCACGUUAUCAUUCUUGUUUGUUCUGAGCGAAUUCCCUCAGUAUGAUCAUUCUUUCAUCAUUUUGUUCCCGGUUUCUUCUCUAGUCUGAGUCUAGCACACUAUUCUAGCUAGACAUGGGUGUGGCUCGUAACACCUAAUGACCAAACGGAUCUACGGCACCGUCGAAUCUCAAACUUUAACUGCUAAAACUAUUGUUUUUCAUCCUUUAGUCCCUUGUAGAAUUACUAAACGUCCUUUUUUGGGCCGAGAUUUCGAGGAACGCUUUGUCGGGGUUUGUGUGCACGUAUUUCAAACCAUACGGACCUAAAAAUUAGAAGUCAUUCCAUCUUUGUUCCCUUAGAGCCUUCCAGCAGUUCCUAAACCGCUCCAGUCGGAGCACGUUAUCAUUCUUGUUAGUUCUGAGCAAAUUCCCUCGGUAUGAUCAUUCUUUCAUCAGUUUGUUCCCUGUUUCUUCUCUAGUCUGAGCCUAGCACACUAUUCUAGCUAUUAAUGGGUGUGGAUCGUAACACCUGAUAACCAAACGGAUCUACGACACCGUCGAAUCUCAAACUUUAACUGCCAAAACUACUGUUUUUCAUUCCGUAGUCCCUUUUAAAUUACUAAACGUCAUUUUUUGGGCAGAGAUAUCCAGGAACGCUUUCUCGGGGUUUGUGUGCACGUAUUUCAAAUCAUACGGACCUAAAAAUUAGAAUCCAUACCAUCUUUAUUCCCCUGGAGCUUUCCAGCAGUUCCUAAACCGCUCCAGUCGGAGCACGUUAUCAUUAUUUUUAGUUCUGAGUGAAUUCCCAUGGUAUGAUCAUUUUCUCAUCAGUUUGUUCCCCGUUUCUUCUCUAGUCUGAGCCUAUCACACUAUUCUAGCUAGACAUGGGUGUGGCUCGUAACACCUGAUGACCAAACGGAUCUACGGCACCGUCGAAUCUCAAACUUCAACUGCCAAAACUAUUAUUUUUCAUCCUGUAGUCCCUUUUAGAAUUACUAAAUGUCCUUUUUUGGGCCGAGAUUUCCAGGAACGCUUUCUCGGGGUUUGUGUGCAUGUAUUUCAAACCAUACGGACCUAAAAAUUAGGUCAUUCCAUCUUUAUUCCCCUAGAGCCUUCCAGCAGUUCCUAAACCGCUCCAGUCGGAGCACGUUAUCAUUCUUGUUUGUUCUGAGCGAAUUCCCUCGAUAUGAUCAUUCUUUCAUCAGUUUGUCCCCCGUUUCUUCUCUAGCCUGAGCCUGACACACUAUUCUAGCUAGACAUGGGUGUGGCUCGUAACACCUAAUGACCAAACGGAUCUACGGCACCGUUGAAUCUCAAACUUUAACUGCCAAAACUAUUGUUUUUCAUUAUGUAGUCCCUUUUAAAUUACUAAACGUCAUUUUUUGGGCUGAGAUAUCCAGGAAAGCUUUCUCGGGGUUUGUGUGCACGUAUUUCAAAUCAUACGGACCUAAAAAUUAGAAGUCAUUCCAUAUUUAUUCCCCUAGAGCCUUCCAGAAAUUCCUAAACCGCUCCAGUUGGACCACGUUAUCAUUCUUGUUAGUUCUGAGUGAAUUACCUCAGUAUGAUCAUUCUUUCAUCAGUUUGUUCCCCGUUUCUUCUAUAGUCUGAGCCUAGCACACUACUCUAGCUAGACAUGGGUGUGGCUCGUAACACCUGAUGACCAAACAGAUCUACGACACCGUCAAAUCUCAAACUUUAACUGCCAAAACUAUUGUUUUUCAUCCUGUAGUCCCUUUUAGAAUUACUAAACGUCCUUUUUUGGGCUGAGAUUUCCAGGAACGCUUUCGCGGGGUUUGUGUGCACGUAUUUUAAACCAUACGGACCUAAAAAUUAGAAGUCAUUCCAUCUUUAUUCCCCUAGAGCCUAACACACUAUUAUAGCUAGACAUGGGUGUGGCUCGUAACACCUGAUGACCAAACGGAUCUACGGCACCAUCGAAUCUCAAACUUUAACUGCCAAAACUAUUGUAUUUCAUCAUGUAGUCCCUUUUAGAAUUAUUAAACGUCCUUUUUUUGGGCCGUGAUUUCCAUGAACGCUUUCUCGGGGUUUCUGUGCACGUAUUUCAAAUCAUACAGACCUAAAAAUUAGAAGGCAUUUCAUCUUUAUUCCCCUAGAGCCUUCCAGCAGUUCCUAAACCGCUCCAGUCGGACCAUGUUAUCAUUCUUGUUAGUUCUGAGUGAAUUCCCUCGAUAUGAUCAUUCUUUCAUCAGUUUGUUCCCCGUUUCUUCUCUAGUCUGAGCCUAGCUCACUAUUCUAGCUAGAUAUGGGUGUGGCUCAUAAUACCCGAUGACCAAACGGAUCUACGGCACCAUCGAAUCUCAAACUUUAGCUGCCAAAACUAUUGUUUUUCAUCCUGUAGUCCCUUUUAGAAUUACUAAACGUCCUUUUUUGGGCCGGGAUUUCCAGGAGCGCUUUCUCGGGGUUUGUGUGCACGUAUUUCAAACCAAGCGUUCCUAAAAAUUAGAAGUCAUUUGAUCUUUAUUCCCCUAGAGCCUUCCAGCAGUUCCUAAACCGCUCCAGUCGGCGCACGUUAUCAUUCUUGUUAGUUCUGAGCGAAUUCCCUCGGUAUGAUCAUUCUUUCAUCAGUUUGUUCCUCGUUUCUUCUCUAGUCUGAGCCUAGCACACUAUUCUAGCUAGACAUGGGUGUGGGUCAUAACACCUGAUGACCAAACCGAUCUACGGCACCAUCGAAUCUCAAACUUUAACUACCAAAACUAUUGUUUUUCAUCCUGUAGUCCCUUUUAGAAUUACCAAACGUCCUUUUUUGGGCCGAGAAUUCCAAGAAUGCUUUCUCGGGGUUUGUGUGCACAUAUUUCAAACCAAACAUUCCUAAAAAUUAGAAAUCAUUCCAUCUUUAUUCCCCAAGAGCCUUCCAGCAGUUCCUAAACAGCUCCACUCAGAGCACGUUGUCAUUCUUGUUAGUUCUGAGCGAAUUCCCUCGGUAUGAUCAUUCUUUCAUCAGUUUGUUCCCUGUUUCUUCUCUAGUCUGAGCCUCGCACACUAUUCUAGCUAUUAAUGGGUGUGGAUCGUAACUCCUGAUGACCAAACGGAUCUACGGCACCGUCGAAUCUCAAACUUUAACUGCCAAAACUACUGUUUUUCAUUCUGUAGUCCCUCUUAAAUUACUAAACGUCAUUUUUUGGGCUGAGAUAUCCAGGAACGCUUUCUCGGGGUUUGUGUGCACGUAUUUCAAAUCAUACGGACCUAAAAAUUAGAAGUCAUUCCAUCUUUAUUCCCCUAGAGCCUUCCAGCAGUUCCUAAACCACUCCAGUCGGAGCACGUUAUCAUUAUUGUUAGUUCCGAGUGAAUUCCCUUGGCAUGAUCUUUCUUUCAUCAGUUUGUUCCCCGUUUCUUCUCUAGUGUUAGCCUAUCACACUAUUCUAGCUAGACAUGGGUGUGGCUCGUAACACCUGAUGACCAAACGGAUCUACGGCACCGUCGAAUUUCAAACUUUAACUGCCAAAACUAUUGUUUUUCCUCCUGUAGUCCCUUUUAGAAUUACUAAAUGUCCUUUUUUGGGCCGAGAUUUCCAGGAAUGCUUUCUCGGGGUUUGUGUGCAUGUAUUUCAAACCAUACGGACCUAAAAAUUAGGUCAUUCCAUAUUUAUUCCCCUAGAGCCUUCCAGCAGUUCCUAAACAUCUCCAGUCGGAGCACGUUAUCAUUCUUGUUUGUUCUGAGCGAAUUCCCUCAGUAUGAUCAUUCUUUCAUCAUUUUGUGCCCUGUUUCUUCUCUAGUCUGAGCAUAGCACACUAUUCUAGCUAGACAUGGGUGUGGCUCGUAACACCUGAUGACCAAACGGAUGUACGACACCGUCGAAUCUCAAACUUUAACUGCCAAAACUAUUGUUUUUCAUCCUGUAGUCCCUUUUAAAUUUACUAAAUGUCCUUUUUGGGCUGAGAUUUCCAGGAACGCUUUCGUGCGGUUUGUGUGCAAGUAUUUCUAAUCAUACGGACCUAUAAAUUAGAAGUCAUUCCAUCUUUAUUCCCCUAGAGCCUUCGAGCAGUUCCUAAACCGCGCCAGCCGGAGCAUGUUAUCAUUCUUGUUAGUUCUGAGUGAAUUCCCUCGGUAUGAUCAUUCUUUCAUCAGUUUGUUCCCCGUUUCUUCUCUAGUCUGAGCCUAGCACACUACUCUAGCUAGACAUGGGUUUGGCUCGUAACACCUGAUAACCAAACAGGUCUACGACUCCAUCGAAUCUCAAACUUUUUUGGGCCGAGAUUUCCAGGAACGCUUUCUCGGGGUUUGUGUGCACGUAUUUCAAAUCAUGCGGACCUAAAAAUUAGAAGUCAUUCCAUAUUUAUUACCCUAGAGCCUUCCAGCAGUUCCUAAACCGCUCCAGUCGGAGCAUGUUAUCAUUCUCUUUAGUUCUCAGGGAAUUCCCUCGGUAUGAUCAUUCUUUCAUCAGUUUAUUCCCUGUUUUUUCUCUAGCAUGAGCCUAACACACUAUUCUAGCUACACAUGGGUGUGGCUCGUAACACCUGAUGACCAAACGGAUCUACGGCACCGUCGAAUCUCAAACUUUAACUGCCAAAACUAUUGUUUUCGUCCUGUAGUCCCUUUUAGAAUUACUAAACGUCCUUUUUUGGGCCGAGAUUUCCAGGAACGCUUUCUCGGGGUUUGUGUGCACGUAUUUCAAAUCAUACGGACCUAAAAAUUAGAAGUCAUUCCAUCUUUAUUCCCCUAGAGCCUUCCAGCAGUUCCUAAACAGCUCUAGUCGGAGCAAGUUAUCAUUCUUGUUAGUUCUGAGCGAAUUCCCUCGGUAUGAUCAUUCUUUCAUUAGUUUGUUCUGCGUUUCUUCUCUAGUCUGAGCCUAGCACACUAUUCUAGCUAUUAAUGGGUGUGGAUCGUAACACCUAAUGACCAACGGAUCUACGGCACCAUCGAAUCUCAAACUUUAACUGCCAAAACUAUUAUUUUUCAUCCUGUAGUCCCUUUAAAAAUUAUUAAAUGUCAUUUUUUGGGCCGAGAUUUCCAGGAACGCUUUCUCGGGGUUUGUGUGCAUGUAUUUCAAGUCAUACGGACCUAAAAAUUAGAAUCCAUUCCAUCUUUAUUCCCCUAGAGCCUUGCAGCAGUUCCUAAACCGCUCCAGUCGGAGCACGUUAUCAUUAUUGUUAGUUCUGAGUGAAUUCCCUCGGUAUGAUUAUUCUUUCAUCAGUUUGUUCCCCAUUUCUUCUCUAGUCUGAGCCUAACACACUAUUCUAGCUAGACAUGGGUGUGGCUCGUAAUACCUGAUGACCAAACGGAUCUACAGCACCGUCGAAUCUCAAACUUUAACUACGAAAACUAUUGUUUUUCAUUCUAUAGUCCCUUUCAGAAUUACUAAACGUCCUUUUUUGGGCCGAGAUUUCCAGGAACGCUUUCUCGGGGUUUGAGUGCGCGUAUCUAACAAUACAGACCUAAAGAUUAGAAUUCAUUCCAUCUUUAUUCCCCUAGAGCCUUCCAGCAGUUCCUAAACUGCUCCAGUCGGAGCACGUUAUCAUUCUUGUUAGUUCUCAGGGAAUUCCCUCGGUAUGAUCAUUCUUUCAUCAGUUUGUUCCCCGUUUCUUCUCUAGCAUGAGCCAAACACACUAUUCUAGCUACACAUGGGUGUGCCUCGUAACACCUGAUGACCAAACGGAUCUACGGCACCGUCGAAUCUCAAACUUUAACUGCCAAAAUUAUUGUUUUUCAUCUUGUAGUCCCUUGUAGAAUUACUAAACGUCCUUUUUUGGGCCGAGAUUUCGAGAAACACUUUGUCAGGGUUUGUUUGCACGUAUUUCAAACCAUACGGACCUAAAAAUUAGAAGUCAUUCCAUCUUUGUUCCCCUAGAGCCUUCCAGCAGUUCCUAAACCGCUCCAGUCGGAGCAUGUUAUCAUUCUUGUUAGUUCUGAGCAAAUUCCCUCGGUAAGAUCAUUCUUUCAUCAGUUUGUUCCCUGUUUCUUCUCUAGCCUGAGCCUGACACACUAUUCUAGCUAGACAUGGGCGUGGCUCGUGACACCUGAUGACCAAACGGAUCUACGGCACCGUCGAAUCUCAAACUUUAACUACCAAAACUAUUGUUUUUCAUUCUGUAGUCCCUUUUAAAUUACUAAACGUCAUUUUUUCGGCCGAGAUUUCCAGGAACGCUUUCUUGUGGUUUGUGUGCAUGUAUUUCAAAUCAUACGGACCUAAAAAUUGGAAUCCAUUCCAUCUUUAUUCCCCUAGAGCCUUCCAGCAGUUCCUAAUCCGCUCCAGUCGGAGCACGUUAUCAUUGUUGUUAGUUCUGAGUGAAUUCCCUCGGUAUGAUCAUUCUUUCAUCAGUUUGUUCCCUGUUUCUUCUCUAGUCUGAGCCUAACACACUAUUCUAGCUAGACAUGGGUGUGGCUCGUAACACCCGAUGACCAAACGGAUCUACGGCACCGUCGAAUCUCAAACUUUAACUGCGAAAACUAUUGUUUUUCAUCCUGUAGUCCUUUUUAGAAUUACUAAACGUCCUUUUUUGGGACGAGAUUUCCAGGAACGCUUUCUCGGGGUUUGUGUGCGCGUAUUUCAAACCAUACGAACCUUAAAAUUAGAAUUCAUUCCAUCUUUAUUCCCCUAGAGCCUUCCAGCAGUUCCUAAACCGCUCCAGUCGGAGCACGUUAUCAUUCUUGUUAGUUCUGAGCAAAUUCCCUCGGUAUGAUCAUUCUUUCAUCAGUUUGUUCCCCGUUUCUUCUCUAGUCUGAGCCUAGCACACUAUUCUAGCUAUUAGUGGGUGUGGAUCGUAACACCUAAUGACCAAACGGAUCUAUGGCACCAUCGAAUCUCAAACUUUAACUGCCAAAACUAUUGUUUUUCAUCCUGUAGUCCCUUUUACAAUUAUUAAACGUCCUUUUUUGGGCCGAGAUUUCCAGGAACGCUUUCUCGGGGUUUGUGUGCAUGUAUUUCAAACCAAACGUUCCUAAAAAUUUGAAGGCAUUCCAUCUUUAUUCCCCUAGAGCCUUCCAGCAGUUCCUAAACCGCUCCAGUCGGAGCACGUUACCAUUCUUGUUAGUUCUGAGCGAAUUCCCUCGGUAUGAUCAUUUUUUCAUCAGUUUUUUCCCUGUUUCUUCUCUAGUCUGAGCCUCGCACACUAUUCUAGCUAUUAAUGGGUGUGGAUCGUAACACCUGAUGACCAAACGGAUCUACGGCACCGUCGAAUCUCAAACUUUAACUGCCAAAACUACUGUUUUUCAUUCUGUAGUCCAUUUUAAAUUACUAAACGUCAUUUUUGGGGCCGAUAUUUCCAGGAACGCUUUCUCGGGGUUUGUGUGCACGUAUUUCAAAUCAUACGGACCUAAAAAUUAGAAGUCAUUCCAUCUUUAUUCCCCUAGAGCCUUCCAGCAGUUCCUAAACCACUCCAGUCGGAGCAUGUUAUCAUUAUUGUUAGUUCUGAGUGAAUUCCCUCGGUAUGAUCAUUCUUUCAUCAGUUUGUUCCCCGUUUCUUCUCUAGUCUGAGCCUAUCAUACUAUUCUAGCUAGACAUGGGUGUGGCUCGUAACAUCUGAUGACCAAACGGAUCUAUGGCACCGUCGAAUCUCAAACUUUAACUGCCAAAACUAUUGUUUUUCAUCCAGUAGUCCCUUUUAGAAUUACUAAAUGUCCUUUUUUGGGCCGAGAUUUCCAGGAACGCUUUCUCGGGGUUUGUGUGCAUGUAUUUAAAACCAUACGGACCUAAAAAUUAGGUCAUUCCAUCUUUAUUCCCCUAGAGCCUUCCAGCAGUUCCUAAACCGCUCCAGUCGGAGCACGUUAUCAUUCUUGUUUGUUCUGAGCGAAUUCCCUCAGUAUGAUCAUUUUUCAUCAUUUUGUUCCCCGUUUCUUCUCUAGUCUGAGCCUAGCACACUAUUCUAGCUAGACAUGGGUGUGGCUCGUAACACUUGAUGACCAAAGGAUCUACGGCACCGUCGAAUCUCAAACUUUAACUGCCAAAACUAUUGUUUUUCAUCGUGUAGUCCCUUUGAAAUUUACUAAACGUCCUUUUUUGGGCUGAGAUUUCCAGGAAAGCUUUCGUGCGGUUUGUGUGCAAGUAUUUCAAAUCAUACGGACCUAUAAAUUAGAAGUCAUUCCAUCUUUAUUCCCCUAGAGCCUUCGAGCGGUUCCUAAACCGCUCCAGUCGGAGCAUGUUAUCAUUCUUGUUAGUUCUGAGUGAAUUCCCUCGGUAUGAUCAUUCUUUCAUCAGUUUGUUCCCCGUUUCUUCUCUAGUCUGAGCCUAGCACACGACUCUAGCUAGACAUGGGUUUGGCUCGUAACACCUGAUAACCAAAUGGCUCUAUGACACCAUCGAAUCUCAAACUUCUUUGGGCUGAGAUUUCCAUGAACGCUUUCUCGGGGUUUGUGUGCACGUAUUUCNNNNNNNNNNNNNNNNNNNNNNNNNNNNNNNNNNNNNNNNNNNNNNNNNNNNNNNNNNNNNNNNNNNNNNNNNNNNNNNNNNNNNNNNNNNNNNNNNNNNNNNNNNNNNNNNNNNNNNNNNNNNNNNNNNNNNNNNNNNNNNNNNNNNNNNNNNNNNNNNNNNNNNNNNNNNNNNNNNNNNNNNNNNNNNNNNNNNNNNNNNNNNNNNNNNNNNNNNNNNNNNNNNNNNNNNNNNNNNNNNNNNNNNNNNNNNNNNNNNNNNNNNNNNNNNNNNNNNNNNNNNNNNNNNNNNNGUAUUUCAAAUCAUGCGGACCUAAAAAUUAGAAGUCAUUCCAUAUUUAUUCCCCUAGAGCCUUCCAGCAGUUCCUAAACUGCUCCAGUCGGAGCAUGUUAUCAUUCUUGUUUGUUCUCAGGGAAUUCCAUCGGUAUGAUCAUUCUUUCAUCAGUUUGUUCCCCGUUUUUUCUCUAGCCUGAGCCUAACACACUAUUCUAGCUACACAUGGGUGUGGCUCGUAACACCUGAUGACCAAACGGAUCUACGACACCGUCGAAUCUGAAACUUUAACUGCCAAAACUAUUGUUUUUCAUCCUGUAGUCCCUUUUAGAAUUAGUAAACGUCCUUUUUUGGGCCAAGAUUUCCAGGAACGCUUUCUCGGGGUUUGUGUGCACGUAUUUCAAAACAUACGGACCUAAAAAUUAGAAGUCAUUCCAUCUUUAUUCCCCUAGAGCCUUCCAGCAGUUCCUAAACUGCUCUAGUCGGAGCAUGUUAUCAUUCUUGUUAGUUCUGAGUGAAUUCCCUCGGUAUGAUCAUUCUUUCAUAAGUUUGUUCCCCAUUUCUUCUCUAGUCUGAGCCUAGCACACUAUUCUAGAUAGACAUGGGUGUGGGCCAUAACACCUGAUGACCAAACGGAUCUACGGCACCCUCGAAUCUCAAACUUUAACUGCCAAAACUAUUGUUUUUCAUCUUGUAGUCCCUUUUAGAAUUACUAAACGUCCUUUUUUGGGCCGAGAUUUCCAGGAACGCUUUCUCGGGGUUUGUGUGCAUGUAUUUCAAACCAAACGUUCCUAGAAAUUAGAAGUCAUUCCAUGUUUAUUCCCCUAGAGCCUUCCAGCAGUUCCUAAACAGCUCUAGUCGAAGCACGUUAUCAUUCUUGUUAGUUCUGAGCGAAUUCCCUCGGUAUGAUCAUUCUUUCAUCAGUUUGUUUUGCGUUUCUUCUCUAUUCUGAGCCUAGCAAACUAUACUAGCUAUUAAUGGGUGUGGAUCGUAACACCUAGUGACCAAACGGAUCUACGGCACCAUCGAAUCUCAAACUUUAACUGCCAAAACUAUUAAACGUCCUUUUUUGGGCCGAGAUUUCCAGGAACGCUUUCUCGGGGUUUGUGUGCAUGUAUUUCAAAUCAUACGGACCUAAAAAUUAGAAGGCAUUCCAUCUUUAUUCCCCUAGAGCCUUCCAGUAGUUCCUAAACCACCCCAGUCGGAGCACGUUAUCAUUCUUGUUAGUUCUGAGCGAAUUCCCUUGGUAUGAUCAUUCUUUCAUCAGUUUGUUCCCUGUUUCUUCUCUAGCCUGAGCCUGACACACUAUUCUAGCUAGACAUGGGUGUGGCUCGUGACACCUAAUGAGCAAACGGAUCUACGGCACCGUCGAAUCUCAAACUUUAACUACCAAAACUAUUGUUUUUCAUUCUGUAGUCCCUUUUAAAUUACUAAACAUCAUUUUUUGGGCCGAGAUUUCCAGGAACGCUUUCUCGGGGUUUGUGUGCAUGUAUUUCAAUUCAUACGGACCUAAAAAUUAGAGUCCAUUCCAUCUUUAUUCCCCUAGAGCCUUCCAACAGUUCCUAAACCGCUCCAGUCGGAGCACGUUAUCAUUAUUGUUAGUUCUGAGUGAAUUCCCUCGGUAUGAUCAUUCUUUCAUCAGUUUGUUCCCGUUUCUUCUCUAGUCUGAGCCUAACACACUAUUCUAGCUAGACAUGGGUGUGGCUCGUAACACCUGAUGACCAAACGGAUCUACGGCACCGUCGAAUCUCAAACAUUAACUACGAAAACUAUUGUUUUUCAUUCUAUAGUCCCUUUUAGAAUUACUAAGCGUCCUUUUUUGGGCUGAGAUUUCCAGGAACGCUUUCUCGGGGUUUGUGUGCACGUAUUUCAAACAAUACGGACCGAAAAAUUAGAAUUCAUUCCAUCUUUAUUCCCCUAGAGCCUUCUAGCAGUUCCUAAAUCGCUCCAGUCGGAGCACGUUAUCAUUCUUGUUAGUUCUCAGGGAAUUCCCUCGGUAUGAUCAUUCUUUCAUCAGUUUGUUCCCCGUUUCUUCUCUAGCCUGAGCCUAACACACUAUUCUAGCUACACAUGGGCAUGGCUCGUAACACCUGAUGACCAAAUGGAUCUACGACACCGUCGAAUCUCAAACUUUAACUGCCAAAACUAUUGUUUUUCAUCCUGUAGUCCCUUGUAGAAUUACUAAACGUCCUUUUUUGGGCCGAGAUUUCGAGGAACGCUUUGUCGGGGUUUGUGUGCACAUAUUUCAAACCAUACGGACCUAAAAAUUAGAAGUCAUUCCAUCUUUGUUCCCCUAGAGCCUUCCAGCAGUUCCUAAACCGCUCCAGUCGGAGCACGUUAUCAUUCUUGUUAGUUAUGAGCAAAUUCCCUCGGUAUGUACAUUCUUUCAUCAGUUUGUUCCGUGUUUCUUCUCUAGCCUGAGCUUGACACACUAUUCUAGCUAGACAUGGGUGUGGCUCGUGACACCUAAUGACCAAACGGAUCUACGGCACCGUCGAAUCUCAAACUUUAACUACCAAAACUAUUGUUUUUCAUUCUGUAGUCCCUUUUAAAUUACUAAACGUCCUUUUUUGGGCCGAGAUUUCCAG
rnacentral:lncRNA from 1 species